rnacentral:rRNA from 1 species
GUGGGGAAUAUUGCGCAAUGGGCGAAAGCCUGACGCAGCGACGCCGCGUGAGGGAUGAAGGUUUUCGGAUCGUAAACCUCUGUCAGAAGGGAAGAAAGUGCGUGGUGCUAAUCAGCCGCGUAUUGACGGUACCUUCAAAGGAAGCACCGGCUAACUCCGUGCCAGCAGCCGCGGUAAUACGGAGGGUGCGAGCGUUAAUCGGAAUUACUGGGCGUAAAGCGCACGUAGGCUGUUGUGUAAGUCAGGGGUGAAAUCCCACGGCUCAACCGUGGAACUGCCCUUGAUACUGCAUGACUGGAAUCCGGGAGAGGGUGGCGGAAUUCCAGGUGUAGGAGUGAAAUCCGUAGAUAUCUGGAGGAACAUCAGUGGCGAAGGCGGCCACCUGGACCGGUAUUGACGCUGAGGUGCGAAAGCGUGGGGAGCAAACAGG